GAUGAACGCUAGCUACAGGCUUAACACAUGCAAGUCGAGGGGCAGCAUGAAUUUACUUCGGUAAAUUUGAUGGCGACCGGCGCACGGGUGCGUAACGCGUAUCCAACCUUCCCGUUACUCCGGGAUAGCCUUCCGAAAGGGAGAUUAAUACCGGAUGGUGUUCAAGUGGUGCAUAUUAUUUGAACUAAAGAUUUAUCGGUAACGGAUGGGGAUGCGUACCAUUGGAUAGUAGGCGGGGUAACGGCCCACCUAGUCCACGAUGGUUAGGGGUUCUGAGAGGAAGGUCCCCCACAUUGGUACUGAGACACGGACCAAACUCCUACGGGAGGCAGCAGUGAGGAAUAUUGGUCAAUGGUCGGAAGACUGAACCAGCCAUGCCGCGUGAAGGUCACGGCCCUAUGGGUCUUAAACUUCUUUUGUAAGGGAGCAAUAAGGCGUACGUGUACGUCGAUGAGAGUACCUUACGAUAAGCAUCGGCUAACUCCGUG
rnacentral:rRNA from 1 species